ACAUACACCAUCUACAUCCUACACAUUCAUCUUCACCAUCCACAUCCUACACAUUCAUCUACACCAUCCACUUCCUACACAUUCAUCUACAUGCACCAUCCACAUCCUACACAUUUAUCUCAUCUAUACAAGCAUACGUUACACAUACACACAUCUUACAAGCAUCCAUCACAUAUCCCCUAUACAAAUCAUUAUUACCCCGUCUAGCAACUUCAAAUUUAGAUUUCUCUGUUCCGUAACAUUCUCCCUCCGUGACUCCAUCAUCAUUACUCCGUCUAGCGCCUUCAAAGAUCAAAGGAUAUGAAUGUGACGGAUCAGAUCAUUUUCCCUUUUUAAGCCUUUACGUUAACUCCAUUUGAUUUUGUGUUCUUCAUAAACAUCUGCAAAAUCAGAUUAAUGAUCCGUUACAAUCCAUUUCUGAAAACAUCAUGCAAGUUCCGUACUUAACCAAAAAGUUCAAAAGCAUUUAUCCCGAAACUAAGUAAACACAUUUAAGACAUGCAUAUUAAGAUAACAGAACAAAGAAUGUUAAUUUUUUUUCUAUGUACAUUUUAAGAAAAUCGUUUUGAAUGAUACUUUUUAACCCAUGUUUUUCUUUUCUUAGAACGAGACAGAGUAUGACAAAAACGAAUAUUGAACACGACAAAUAAAAUCAAUGAUUGUUUACUUUACUUAAUUUUCAAAACAAAAUUUUAUGAGUAAUCUACCAAAUCAACGAACGACGAGAGAUCUAAAACUUCAAAAAACAGAGCCUCAGUUUCAGAUUUCAUUUUAUUAACUUCUUUACCAUCACAUGCAAAUUAUUGAAAACAACAACAAUUUUAAUCCCCAUCUUAUCAGUAUUUUGUGACCUAUCUCAAAAUUUUUUUCUUAAAACUUCAUAAAAAAGAUAUGCAAGAUGUCGGAAACAUUGUAGUUUAAGCAAAAGUAAUCAAAAGAAUCAGACCAAGAAGCGUUACCUUGUAGGCUUGUAGGGUAAUGUCUUUGAGUAGCUUGUGGACUGAAAACAUAGGAGAGAAGCUUGAGUGUAGUAGAACAGAUCAAAAGAAUUAAAACAGAGAGUAUUUGGACAUGUGAACAAAUGAGUUUCAUAGUAAGUAAGAAGAUUUUUUUAUGUC
rnacentral:lncRNA from 1 species